AGGCAGCAGUGGGGAAUAUUGCACAAUGGGGGAAACCCUGAUGCAGCGACGCCGCGUGAGCGAUGAAGUAUUUCGGUAUGUAAAGCUCUAUCAGCAGGGAAGAAGAUGACGGUACCUGACUAAGAAGCCCCGGCUAACUACGUGCCAGCAGCCGCGGUAAUACGUAGGGGGCAAGCGUUAUCCGGAUUUACUGGGUGUAAAGGGAGCGUAGACGGCGGUGCAAGCCAGAUGUGAAAGCCCGGGGCUCAACCCCGGGACUGCAUUUGGAACUGUAUGGCUGGAGUGUCGGAGAGGCAGGCGGAAUUCCUAGUGUAGCGGUGAAAUGCGUAGAUAUUAGGAGGAACACCAGUGGCGAAGGCGGCCUGCUGGACGAUGACUGACGUUGAGGCUCGAAAGCGUGGGGAGCAAACAGGAUUAGAUACCCU
rnacentral:rRNA from 1 species